rnacentral:misc_RNA from 1 species
GAUGAAGAACGUAGCGAAAUGCGAUACUUGGUGUGAAUUGCAGAAUCCCGUGAACCAUCGAGUCUUUGAACGCAAGUUGCGCCCGAAGCCAUUAGGCCGAGGGCACGCCUGCCUGGGCGUCACACGUCGUUGCCCCCCCAUCUACUCCUUCGGGAUUGCGGGGGGCGGAUGAUGGCCUCCCGUGCGCCUCGUCGCGCGGUUGGCAUAAAUGCCAAGUCCUCGGCGACGCACGCCACGACAAUCGGUGGUUGCGAAACCUCGGUUGCCCGUCGUGUGCGGUCGUCGCGCAUCGAGGGCUCGAAAAAAUUGCCGGGCUCCGGCUCGGCUUUCAACGCGUCCCCAGGUCAGGCGGGGUUACCCGCUGAAUUUAAGCAUAUCAAUAAGCGGAGGA